rnacentral:misc_RNA from 1 species
UCUCCGUUGGUGAACCAGCGGAGGGAUCACUACCGAGUUUACAACUCCCAAACCCAAUGUGAACGUUACCAAACUGUUGCCUCGGCGGGAUCUCUGCCCCGGGUGCGUCGCAGCCCCGGACCAAGGCGCCCGCCGGAGGACCAACCAAAACUCUUAUUGUAUACCCCCUCGCGGGUUUUUUUUUAUAACCUGAGCCUUCUCGGCGCCUCUCGUAGGCGUUUCGAAAAUGAAUCAAAACUUUCAACAACGGAUCUCUUGGUUCUG